GGUCUGGCUGCUCAUGGAGAAGGGGUAAGAGUUCAUGCGUGAUUUGAUUAGAAGAGAGGGAGAGGUUGACAAAGCCGAUCGUCUUCGUUCUAUCUUCUCCGCCAAUAAAUGUUGCGGAAAAUUUUAUUCGGUUUCAAGUCGUGCGAUUUGUUUUGAGCAAUUUGUGCAGGCAGUGUUUUCGUCAAUAAGAAAGGAUGCUGCGGAUCUUUCGAUCGUCAUAGGGAUCGGCUCAGGAUAUGCCUUCAAAUACCGUUACUACAUUAACCUUCACGACGACCAUGUUCCGGACAUAAAUGGGGACGACACUGGAGCAUUUCUUUGCCUGGUUCAGCUGGGCAAUAUGUACGUGAUGCAUUGCGCUCGUUCAUGUUUUUAUUGCACCUAACACUAUCGCACUGAGCGGUCGGGAUGGGCCUCCGGCUCGAAGGGAUCAUCGAGUACAAACACCAAAUGGUUGGCCCUUGUACACUUUUUCACCUUAUAUAAAGAACUUUGUAGUAAGGAAGCUCCUCACUCCUCUUCAAACCUCUGAAACGGUAUACAAUCGACACCAACAGGAGAUCGACUACACUGUGUGAACCAUCUUGUCCAGUGCAACCAGGCAACAAAACAUUCCUCUUCAGCAACAGCACCAUCAUAAUCCGUGCUAGAAGCAACUCCAACUUGUUGUCGGGAGACUAAAAGAUGCAAAAUUGAUUUAAAAAAAAAAGCAAACAAAUUUGUGUAGAAUGAUGAUUGAUCAAACUUACUGUUAAUGGAAGGCACUUUAUACACAGAAGGACGGCAGGAAGAACUGAACGGAAAAAGAACACCCAAUGCUGAUUGCUGACAAGCCGCCGGUAACGUAAUGACCAAUUUGGAAUCCGUGAUCGAGCAGAGUCAGUGUUUAAGGCCAAGCACGUCUCCGGCAUAUGAUAUGCAUUCUCCGAUACCCAUGGCCAGGUUCUCCUACGAGAUACAGCGUGGGCUCACCCGCUAACUGUAAAUGCACAAUCCGUUGAUAUCCUCCUCACCUCAUAGUUAUCGUGAUCCUUUUCCCGCUCCGUCUUCCGUGCCAACACCUCCCAACGUUCACCAUGGCGCUGCAGAACUAAAAGGCAAAAAACUAUAAGCCAGAUAUCUGGGAUAAAAGCAUAUAAUUAUAUUUACCUGAUUAGAUGCACUCAUCGACUUUGUAGAGCAAACAGAUUUUUGAAUCUGAAAAAUAAGAAAAGUUCAACCAAUACAAGCCAUUCCAGUGUCUAGUACGACUGUAGCAUUGCUUUUUUUUUCUUCUUAACUACACCAUGAUCUGCUACGCGCAAGCGUACCACGCUCCAAUUUAUAUUACGUGUACUUCAUUCCUGCUCUGAGCAAGUCUGGUGGUUCAGUCUUCAGGCUGUGGUAUACAUGCACACGGCAUUCUGUUUCUAAUCUUACUCUUACUCACCCGUUUCAGCACAAUGAAAAAGUUUCACACGCACAGAUCACAGCUGAUAAACAACACACUCGACGCCCACCCCCUCCCUCCAACCUUGCAGCGAAAGUUCCGUUGUUACACACAAACAUAAUACCACCACACAACGCGAAGAGUCUACGGACAUGUAGAGAAGCAAAGCAAAAUCAAGAGAGAAAAGAGCAAAUACAGGAAUAGAGGAACUCCCGAAAACACAUGACGAGACACGACAAUACACAAUAUAUUGACAAAAAGUUA